rnacentral:lncRNA from 1 species
AGACAUAUAAUAAUAAUUCUCUAACUCUAAGAUUUUUCUAGAAGGUAACUUCAAUAGAUAUGUUCCUACAGCUGCAGCUUGGAUGGACUCUCCUCCAGUACCAUAGAACUCGAAGCCACAUUUCAGUAAAACUCUAAGAUUCUACAGUCCCUACAAUAACUUGCAGAUAUGAGUGCCGUAAGUGGUAUCCAAUACACAAGAGUUUCAUAUAGAAGAACUU